GGUAGCAUGGCCGAGUGGUCUAAGGCGCUGGAAUUAGGUUCCAGAGUCCUAUUAUAUAAUCCAGUCCUCCGGGGCGUGAGUUCGAACCUCACUGCUAUCA